CAGUCGCCGCGGGAAUACGAAGGGUGCAAGCGUUACUCGGAAUUACUGGGCGUAAAGCGUGCGUAGGUGGUGGUUUAAGUCCGUUGUGAAAGCCCUGGGCUCAACCUGGGAAUUGCAGUGGAUACUGGGUCACUAGAGUGUGGUAGAGGAUAGUGGAAUUUCCGGUGUAGCAGUGAAAUGCGUAGAGAUCGGAAGGAACAUCUGUGGCGAAGGCGACUAUCUGGGCCAACACUGACACUGAGGCACGAAAGCGUGGGGAGCAAACAGGAUUAGAUACCCCGGUAGUCCCUGUCUUUUAUAC
rnacentral:rRNA from 1 species